rnacentral:rRNA from 1 species
ACUCCUACGGGAGGCAGCAGUAGGGAAUUUUCCGCAAUGGACGAAAGCCUGACGGAGCAAUGCCGCGUGAGUGAUGAAGGUUUUCGAAUCGUAAAGCAUCUGUUGUAAGGGAAGAAUAGCAGUAGUAGGAAAUGACUACUGUGUGACGGUACCUUACCAGAAAGCCACGGCUAACUACGUGCCAGCAGCCGCGGUAAUACGUAGGUGGCAAGCGUUAUCCGGAAUUAUUGGGCGUAAAGCGCAUGUAGGCGGCUCUUUAAGUCUGAUGUGAAAGCCU